CAUUACAGAGUUGCAAAACUCCCUAAACCAUUGUGAACGUUACCUAUACCGUUGCUUCGGCGGGCGGCCCCGGGGUUUACCCCCCGGGCGCCCCUGGGCCCCACCGCGGGCGCCCGCCGGAGGUCACCAAACUCUUGAUAAUUUAUGGCCUCUCUGAGUCUUCUGUACUGAAUAAGUCAAAACUUUCAACAACGGAUCUCUUGGUUCUGGCAUCGAUGAAGAACGCAGCGAAAUGCGAUAAGUAAUGUGAAUUGCAGAAUUCAGUGAAUCAUCGAAUCUUUGAACGCACAUUGCGCCCGCCAGCAUUCUGGCGGGCAUGCCUGUUCGAGCGUCAUUUCAACCAUCAAGCCCCCGGGCUUGUGUUGGGGACCUGCGGCUGCCGCAGGCCCUGAAAAGCAGUGGCGGGCUCGCUGUCGCACCGAGCGUAGUAGCAUACAUCUCGCUCUGGUCGCGCCGCGGGUUCCGGCCGUUAAACCACCUUUUAACCCAAGGUUGACCUCGGAUCAGGUAGGAAGACCCGCUGAACUUAAGCAUAUCAAUAAGCGGAGGAA
rnacentral:rRNA from 1 species